UACGGAGGGUGCAAGCGUUAUCCGGAUUCACUGGGUUUAAAGGGUGCGUAGGUGGGUUGGUAAGUCAGUGGUGAAAUCCCCAAGCUUAACUUGGGAACUGCCAUUGAUACUAUCAGUCUUGAAUACCGUGGAGGUUAGUGGAAUAUGUCAUGUAGCGGUGAAAUGCUUAGAUAUGACAUAGAACACCAAUUGCGAAGGCAACUGACUACACGAGUAUUGACACUGAGGCACGAAAGCGUGGGGAUCAAACAGG
rnacentral:rRNA from 1 species